UACGAGGGGAGCAAGCGUUGUUCGGAUUUACUGGGCGUAAAGGGCGCGUAGGCGGCCACGACAAGUCACUUGUGAAAUCUCCGGGCUUAACCCGGAACGGUCAAGUGAUACUGUCGGGCUAGAGUACAGAAGGGGCAACUGGAAUUCUCGGUGUAGCGGUGAAAUGCGUAGAUAUCGAGAGGAACACCUGCGGCGAAGGCGGGUUGCUGGGCUGAUACUGACGCUGAGGCGCGAAAGCGUGGGGAGCAAACAGG
rnacentral:rRNA from 1 species